rnacentral:rRNA from 1 species
UGGGGAAUUUCGGACAAUGGGCGAAAGCCUGAUCCAGCAAUGCCGCGUGUGUGAAGAAGGCCUUCGGGUUGUAAAGCACUUUUGUCCGGAAAGAAAUCCUUGGCUCUAAUACAGUCGGGGGAUGACGGUACCGGAAGAAUAAGCACCGGCUAACUACGUGCCAGCAGCCGCGGUAAUACGUAGGGUGCAAGCGUUAAUCGGAAUUACUGGGCGUAAAGCGUGCGCAGGCGGUUUGCUAAGACCGAUGUGAAAUCCCCGGGCUCAACCUGGGAACUGCAUUGGUGACUGGCAGGCUAGAGUAUGGCAGAGGGGGGUAGAAUUCCACGUGUAGCAGUGAAAUGCGUAGAGAUGUGGAGGAAUACCGAUGGCGAAGGCAGCCCCCUGGGCCAAUACUGACGCUCAUGCACGAAAGCGUGGGGAGCAAACAGGAUUAGAUACCCUGGUAGUCCACGCCCUAAAACGAUGUCAACUAGUUGUUGGGGAUUCAUUUCCUUAGUAACGUAGCUAACGCGUGAAGUUGACCGCCUGGGGAGUACGGUCGCAAGAUUAAAACUUAAAUGAAUUGACGGGGUCAUAGCUGUUUCCU